GAAUAUUGGACAAUGGGCGCAAGCCUGAUCCAGCAAUGCCGCGUGUGUGAAGAAGGCCUGCGGGUUGUAAAGCACUUUUAUCGGGAAAGAAAAGCUUGGGGCUAAUAUCUCCAAGCCUUGACGGUACCCGUUGACUAAGCACCGGCUAACUCCGUGCCAGCAGCCGCGGUAAUACGGAGGGUGCAAGCGUUAAUCGGAAUUACUGGGCGGAAAGCGAGUGUAGGUGGCCGCAUAAGUCGGAUGUGAAAGCCCUGGGCUUAACCUGGGGAUGGCAUUCGAUACUGUGUGGCUAGAGUCUGAUAGAGGGAAGUGGAAUUCCAGGUGUAGCGGUGAAAUGCGUAGAUAUCCGGAGGAACAUCAGUGGCGAAGGCGGCUACCUGGAUCAAGACUGACACUGAGGCUCGAAAGCGUGGGGAGCAAACAGG
rnacentral:rRNA from 1 species